GGCUAGCUCAGUGGGUUAGCACGUGGUGCUAAUAACACCAGGGCAUAGGUUCAAGCCCUAUGUUGGUCA
rnacentral:tRNA from 1 species